CCACGCCGUAAACGAUGUCGAUUUGGAGGUUGUGCCCUUGAGGCGUGGCUUCCGGAGCUAACGCGUUAAAUCGACCGCCUGGGGAGUACGGCCGCAAGGUUAAAACUCAAAUGAAUUGACGGGGGCCCGCACAAGCGGUGGAGCAUGUGGUUUAAUUCGAUGCAACGCGAAGAACCUUACCUGGUCUUGACAUCCACAGAACUUAGCAGAGAUGCUUGGUGCCUUCGGGAACUGUGAGACAGGUGCUGCAUGGCUGUCGUCAGCUCGUGUUGUGAAAUGUUGGGUUAAGUCCCGCAACGAGCGCAACCCUUAUCCUUUGUUGCCAGCGGUCCGGCCGGGAACUCAAAGGAGACUGCCAGUGAUAAACUGGAGGAAGGUGGGGAUGACGUCAAGUNAUCAUGGCCCUUACGACCAGGGCUACACACGUGCUACAAUGGCAUAUACAAAG
rnacentral:rRNA from 1 species